rfam:Tetragenococcus halophilus NBRC 12172 DNA, complete genome.
GGGCCUAUAGCUCAGUUGGUUAGAGCGCACGCCUGAUAAGCGUGAGGUCGAUGGUUCGAGUCCAUUUAGGCCCA